rnacentral:rRNA from 1 species
AUACGUAGGGUGCAAGCGUUAAUCGGAAUUACUGGGCGUAAAGCGCGCGUAGGUGGCUAAUUAAGUCAAAUGUGAAAUCCCCGAGCUUAACUUGGGAAUUGCAUUCGAUACUGGUUAGCUAGAGUAUGGGAGAGGAUGGUAGAAUUCCAGGUGUAGCGGUGAAAUGCGUAGAGAUCUGGAGGAAUACCGAUGGCGAAGGCAGCCAUCUGGCCUAAUACUGACACUGAGGUGCGAAAGCAUGGGGAGCAAACAGGAUUAGAUACCCUGGUAGUCCAUGCCGUAAACGAUGUCUACUAGCCGUUGGGGCCCUUGAGGCUUUAGUGGCGCAGCUAACGCGAUAAGUAGACCGCCUGGGGAGUACGGUCGCAAGACUAAAACUCAAAUGAAUUGACGGGG